CAACAUGUCUCGACCAAAUAUACCCACCUUUCGUAGUACGGGUUAAUCGCGAAGUUACACCACACGAGUGAGUAACACUAGGUUACGUUGUAGAUAAUGUAGAUAAUGUUUAGCCUACAUUUACAACCAUUGCAAGUGUGAAUGUGUUGUGUUUGCAUUGCAACUGCAACAGUGGUAAUGUUAAUUGUAAUGAAAUCAGACAAUUGCAGUUACUAGCAUCCUAAUUAGCCAAAUUAAUUAGCCUAAUGAACGCCAUGGCACUUAAUUUGUGAUGCUGUAUCGCCACCCUAUGGUGUUCGAGUAUAAGUAGGCCUACCCGAUUUUUUUUAUGUUGGUCAAAGCGAAAUAAAGUGAUAUAAGUGUGUCAGUUUACGUGUAAAUUUGUAAAAUUAAAUUUGCGAAUAACUCUUAGCUUUUUCAUACUGUUACCUAGUACACUGAAAAAAUGACUUCUUCACCCUGUAAUUACCAAAAUUAUUUGUUUAAAUUCUACAGUAAAUUUUCAUUUAGGUGCUUUUACUUUAUAAUAUCACCCUCACAUCAAGUAAUAUUAACUAUAGCACUGCACGACCUGACACGAAAAAGUACAUUUUACUUGGGUAAUGGAAGUGAAUCUGACAACCUUGUAGCACUCAAUAAGUGACGUCAGGUUAGCGCGGUUUCUUAGCAGAGACGCAUCUAAAGAAACCUUGAUGAAAAAAUCCACAAAUGAGAAGCGACAGAGGACGUCAACAAAGAAACCAUCCAAGAGGACUGUGCUCAUCAAGUCUUGAACAUUUUCGUCAUCCGUGGAAAUGAAGCACAGGAAGAUCACAGCCCUGUUCAUGUGUCGAUCAUCAUUGAGGGAAAAGAGGUUCUUGCUGACUGUAAAAGUGUGGCAAAGGCUUGCCUUCUGCUCAUGGACUUUAUUUAUGCAAUGAACUUGAGCUACCCAUCAAAGUUGAAAUACUCAUUUGAGGUGUUUCAGAAGGUCUUUCUUGUACUUGAUGUUCUGAAGAUGUCUCCUAAAAUCUGGUCUUUGCACAACAAACUUGUAGUAUGAAUAUGUGCACAUAAGUGUCUGAACCAAGUAAAGUCAAAUACUUGGCUAGUAAGGAAAAAUAGUUGGAGAAUUACUUUCAAAGUUCAGCUACAAGCUUUUUUUUGUUGCAGCAGUGGUCACCAAACUGGCGUGUGGAAGCAUUAGAGGUUGGAGUGAUUUAAAAAAUACACUAUAAAUUGUUACAUACAACUGUUGAUGGAGUCCCCUUUUGAAAGGCUCGAAAUACAGUGCUUUGUUCUGGUUUCACUUGUUUACCUUUCUGACAAAGUUAUUGCACUUUGAUACUUCUUGGUAUUUUGUUGGGCAUUUUAGCUCUCUAGCUCACUAUUUUGGGGCAUUUUAGCUCUUCAAAACCUUGACAGAAGUCCUUUUUGAAACUGUUUUAGUGUUUUAACAAAAGUUAACAUUUUUGACAUGUCUGUUGGCAGCAGUGAUUUUUAAAAUGUCUAAUACCAACCAUGUUGCACUGUAUGUCUUGCACUUAAGUAUAUGUUGCACAUAAAACAGCUACUUCAUGAACCAGAAAAAAUAAAGAUUAUCUAAAAACAUC